AUUGAACGCUAGCGGGAUGCCUUACACAUGCAAGUCGAACGGAGUGGCGGACGGGUGGGUAAUGUAUCGGAACGUGCCCAGUAGCGGGGGAUAACUACGCGAAAGCGUAGCUAAUACAGCAUCCUAUUGGAGCGGGCGAUAGCGGAUUAGCUCGUUGGUGUGGUAACGGGUCACCAAGGCGACCAUCCGUAGCUGGUUUGAGAGGACGACCAGGCACACUGGGACUGAGACACGGCCCAGACUCCUACGGGAGGCAGGAGUGGGGAAUUUUGGACAAAGUGGGAAACCCUGAUCCAGCCAUUCCGCGUGUGCGAUGAAGGCCUUCGGGUUGUAAAGCACUUUUGCCAGGAAAGCGGUACCUGCAGAAUAAGCACCGGCUAACUACGUGCCAGCCGCCGCGGUAAUUC
rnacentral:rRNA from 1 species